GUCUCAGGAGGCUGGAUGCCACUGAGGGGGGCGGUGCACCUCCAGAACCCUCCCGCCUUCAAACCCCCCUCACACACCGGCCACAAACCAGACAGUGAGACAGGCAGCCAGCCUCCUCACUACAACCAGCAGCUCCGCUCCCCUCACCGCACCGCACCGCACCGCACCGCACCGCACCGCAGCCUCUCAAGCAUCCCAUGCCUUCACCUGCUCCGGGAUAAACAGCCGUCCAGCCGCCCGUCCAGUCAGCCCAGCAGCCAGGAAGGUGGAAGUCUGCAGGUGAAGAUGCUGGAAAACGGGAGGAAGGUGUUCAAGGAGGGUCUGCUGGAGAAGCGGAGCGACGGGCUGCUGCAGCUCUGGAAGAAGAAGCACUGCGUCCUGACCGAGGACGGCGUGCUGCUGCUGCCGCCCAAGCAGCACGACCACCCGCAGCACCACCAGCAGCACCACGGCGGCGCGGACACGGGCAAAGUCAAGGAGCUGCACUUCGCCAACAUGAAGACGGUGGACUGCGUGGAGCGGAAGGGCAAGUACGUCUACUUCACGGUGGUCAUGACGGAGGGCAAGGAGAUCGACUUCAGGUGUCCGCAGGACGAGGGCUGGAACGCGGAGAUCACCUUGCAGAUGGUCCAGUACAAGAACCGGCAGGCGAUCCUGGCCGUCAAGUCCACCCGGCAAAAGCAGCAGCUGCUCGUGGUGCAGAUGCCCGGCCAGAAGACCGUCCGCAGCUCUCCGAACGUAGCGUGACCUGCGGCGAGUCCCGCGGACACUGGUUCGCCAUUAGCGGUAAGACGGCUAAAGAGAAAGACAGGGGCUCCCCAGGUCCGGGGACCACCUGGGGAUCCCCUUACGAAUUAAGGACCUGUUGUUUUUUUUUUUUUUUUUUUUUUUUGCUUUUUUGUAUUAUUUUCUGGAUAUUUGUGCCAUGUGUGAGGACGUCUGUUGCCAUCGUAGCUUACAGUCCUCCUUCCCUGCUCAAACACUGAACCAGUGUUCUUCCAGGACACAGAGUCGUACAAAAUGUGGAUUUAUUUUGGCGUAAAGAAAAGUUUGAGAGCUUCUGCUGUAGGCCAUAUACGUUCCCCUCUUUGGAGGUGAAACCCUCAGCAGGAAAAUGUGCUGGAUAUACAUUCCCCGGCAGGUGUGAUAUUUCAUACAAGGAGGUCUUCUCCAUACCCAAAACAUUACGCACAGAUAAAAGUAGAAUGGAAUUACGCACGACGCGAAAUUACUUACAUUUAUGCUGAUAAGGUUAAUUGGACACUGAGCUGGAGGAUGGAUAUGAACCCGGGCUGCAUCUCCCCCUGCUGCUUCCCCACCGAGCUCCAUUCUCCAGGAGGACCCCUCUUCCAUGUAAUGGUUUCCACAGACCAGCGCCCCGACCCUUUUCAAUACAGAGACUUCUUUCACAAAAGACUGAUGGACAAAAAGCAUGUGAGAAAACAACUGUCUUCUACCAUGCGAUGGGUUUAUCCCUUAUUUAUUAGAUGUGUAUAUAUAUUUUCUAUAAAAAAACAUUAUGUUGUUGAUGAAUGUUUGGUUGUUGCUAGAGUGGAACAGGAGGUCUGAGGUUCGUCGCCUGCUAGUCCAUUGGGGAUGAGAUCACAUAUAGCUAUCUUAGAGUGAUUGAGAUAGGUUAGUAGGUAAAAUGUGUCAUUUCCCAUGAUUUCAUUUUUCAACUGAACCAAAGACUCAUUUCAUUACAUUGCUCUCUCCUGUGCAGUGUUACACCUCUCAGUACUAAAUCUGUAGAUACUGUAUAUGAUGAGAUACCUGCUCCCCAUAUACACACUUUGUUUUAAGUGCUUGAUUUGUUAAAAGCUACAGUAUAUCUUAGUAUUUACAUUGUGUUCAUCAACCAUGUUCCAUCGUGUUAUUUGACUGCAUACUAAGGUUAUCUCUUGCUUUCUUGUGAGUCUUAAAUCUGAGGAGUAUACUAACUUAGUACCCUCAGUUUGUUUUCAGUGGUUACAGAAAAGAGCUUAGUCAUACUAAGAAGACCAUGUGCACACUGGAGUCUUUUUUUUGGUCAUACUUCAGAGGCUGAGCUGCUUUAAAGGCAGUUUGACUGGUUGCAGUAAAACUUUCCGAGCAAAGUAACAUUAGUCUGAAACCUAGAAUAAAAACUCAAAGGAAACCUAAAAAUAAAGUGGAAAUUCAGACAUAUUUUCUUGAGAAAACUGCUUUAGCUCAAGAUAAAAAGCUGCUAGCUGACUAGCUGUGAUGCACCAUUUGUAGUUUCCUCAGACUUUCUAAACUGAGUGCCAUAAUGUGGGCUUUGAAUGUUUCUGUCCCAUUAGCAACUAAGCUAGCUAGCUUGCUCAAAGACAGUUAGCGAACUACCAAGUCAGCUGCUACAGAGUGCUACUGAGACAAAUACUAGCAUGUGUUUGGCUAGCUAGCCAGCAAUUAGCCAGCUAGCUAAAAGUGGUCACAACUAACCGCCAGAGACGUCGAUGUAUUAUGUCUGUCAAAAUAAUAAGGAGCGAUGUUUUGGGUUUUUUUCUAGUGAUUGGACAUAUGGGCAAAAGUACUUUUUGCCCUUUGGGUGUUACAUCACCUGCAAGUCCAGCAGUGGCCACAUUGACCAAAACUGCUAUUAGCUCUUCUCUGGAAAAUGAUUUUCUAAGCUGUAAAGAAUUGCCUUUUGUACUAGUUUGUAAUUUUAGAUAAUUACAAGCUAGAUAAGAACGUUUUGAAUGUUUUUGGUGGUUAGCUAGCUUCAGGCUUUUUUGGAUUUUGAGUUGACCAGUUCAAGCUAUGCUAAGCUAAAAAAGACUGCUUGGCUACAUCCAUUGAUGUUAACUGCAACCAAUCAGAAUAUUGCUGCCUUCAAGUGGAAUUCAUGAGCUAGUGAUUACAACGUAACAUGGAGGCUACUGUCAGUUUUUAGCAGCCACUAAGGCAAACAUUUUGCAAAUUAAUGUGCGGGCAACACAAUGUAGGAAAUGCAAAGGCUAAAUAAAAAGUUGAGGCACUUGGGAAUAUCAACAUUUUCCUCAAACAUUGUGAAAGUGUGAAGUAAAACUCUAUACAAUUAAAGUUACUACUAAAUUUUCCAUUCACCAAAAAAUUGACUUCUGUAGCCUCCACUAUUUCUGAAAACACGCCACAACUCUUGAACUUGGACUUUUCUGAAAAUUUCUACCUACACGGUUGUGAAGGCACCAUAUUUCUGUCUCUGUAGCAGCUCUGCCUCUGAGAACUGUUCACAAACCUCUAUCAAUCAUUUGUACUGCGCAUUGAAGGCAUGAAAUACUUUCCACGAGGAAGCAAACAGACUAAAUAAUCUUUCUGAAGGUGGUGGUACACAGAACAACACUUAGAGGAAAGUGUCAGGUGGCAGGCUCAGAAAUCCCCCCCGUUGUUUUUUUUUUUAAUGAUGGAGGGAUGUCUUGCUGUCAAGAAACCUCUCCCUGUGGCUCAUGUUGUUUCCUGUUUGCUGGGAGUGUUUCCACAGCUUUCCACUCUUGCCAACCUGACACAUGCCUCGGUGCUGCUGUCAUCUCCCACACAGGGUCGGAGCUGUGCCCUUUAUCUAAUGCGACCGGUGUGAUGCUUCUCUGACAUGCCUUCCCGUUGCCAUCAUUUCACACACAGUUAUAGCUGUGCCCUUUGUAGCCACUGUCCAAUUUCUUAUUUCAACGUGAGAUCUAUUUUCAUACCUCGAAAAGAUACAUUCCAUUAAAAAACAAACAAAAUGA